GGGGUUAUGGCUCAGUGAUAGAGUGCUCGCCUAGCACACGUGAGGCACUGGGUUCGAUCCUCAGCACCUCA
rnacentral:tRNA from 1 species